GUUUUUGUAGCUUAAGGUAAAGCAUGACACUGAAGAUGUCAAGACGGAUGCUUCACGCACCCAAAGACA